CGUAGGUGCAAGCGUUGUCCGGAAUUAUUGGGCGUAAGAGCUCGUAGGCGGUUUGUCGCGUCUGCUGUGAAAUCCCGAGGCUCAACCUCGGGUCUGCAGUGGGUACGGGCAGACUAGAGUGCGGUAGGGGAGAUUGGAAUUCCUGGUGUAGCGGUGGAAUGCGCAGAUAUCAGGAGGAACACCGAUGGCGAAGGCAGAUCUCUGGGCCGUAACUGACGCUGAGGAGCGAAAGCAUGGGAGCGAACAGGAUU
rnacentral:rRNA from 1 species